rnacentral:rRNA from 1 species
AGCGAACGCUGGCGGCAGGCUUAACACAUGCAAGUCGAGCGGGCCCUUCGGGGUCAGCGGCGGACGGGUGAGAAACGCGUGGGAACGUGCCUUCUGGUCUGGAAUAACCCUGGGAAACUAGGGCUAAUACCGGAUACGCCCUUUUGGGGAAAGGUUUACUGCCGGAAGAUCGGCCCGCGUCGGAUUAGCUAGUUGGUGGGGUAACGGCCUACCAAGGCGACGACCAGUAGCUGGUCUGAGAGGAUGAUCGGCCACACUGGGACUGAGACACGGCCCAGACUCCUACGGGAGGCAGCAGUGGGGAAUAUUGGACAAUGGGCGAAAGACUGAUCCAGCCAUGCCGCGUGAGUGAUGAAGGCCUUAGGGUUGUAAAGCUCUUUUAUCCGGGACGAUAAUGACGGUACCGGAGGAAUAAGCCCCGGCUAACUUCGUGCCAGCCGCCGCGGUAA